CACGAGACCGAUAGCGAACAAGUACCAUGAGGGAAAGCCGAAAAGAACUUUGAAGAGAGAGUUCAAGAGUACGUGAAACCGUUCAGGGGUAAACCUGAGAAACCCGAAAAUUCGAAUGGGGAGAUUCAUCGUCAGUGGUGCUGGCUUCGCAGUGGUGGGCGAUGCUAUGGACUUUGGUUCAUGGCACGUUGCUGCUGUGUAUGUCCGGUGUCGUCGUCGUGCACUUCUCCCCUAGUAGGACGUCGCGACCCGCUGGGUGUUGGACUACGGCCUGGAUGGUAGCCUGUCUCGUCGCUUCGGCGUUCGUGACAGACCUUCAGUGUCUCUCCCGUCCAACUGCUCGGCGGUAUUUUGCGAUAGUAUUCGGCCGCAACAGAUUUUAUCGAGUUGCGUCAUUGGCCCGUGGCAAGCGCGGUCAGUGUCCCGUGUGGUACGGACUCAGUGCCGACGCCGGGCCUGUCCAGCUGUUGGCUCACGGUGUCCUCUGACAGGCCGCU
rnacentral:rRNA from 1 species